rnacentral:lncRNA from 1 species
GCCAGAGUGAGACAAGGCGGGGUGAAUACGUCCUCACCUUCAACUUCCAGGGCAAGGCCAAGCACCUGCGUUUGUCGCUGAACGAGGAGGGUCAGUGCCGGGUCCAGCACCUGUGGUUCCAGUCCAUUUUCGAUAUGCUCGAGCACUUCCGGGUGCACCCCAUCCCUUUGGAGUCGGGAGGCUCCAGUGAUGUUGUCCUUGUCAGCUAUGUCCCAUCCUCCCAGCGACAGCAGGGUGAGCAGAGCAGGUCUGCAGGGGAGGAGGUGCCCGUGCACCCAAGAAGUGAGGUGUGUGUGCCAGAAAGAUGGGGCGGGGAGGGGGGACUAUCACAAGGAGAAGCUU